rnacentral:rRNA from 1 species
GGCUCAGAACGAACGUUAGCGGCGCGCCUAACACAUGCAAGUCGAGCGAGAAGGAAGCAAUUCCUGUAAAGCGGCGCACGGGUGAGUAACACGUAGGUAAUCUACCUCGAAGUGGUGGAUAACCUUCCGAAAGGAGGGCUAAUACAGCAUGAGACCACGGUUUCGAAAGAGAUUGAGGUCAAAGCGGGCCACUAUACAUAAGCUCGCGCUUCGAGAUGAGCCUGCGGCCCAUCAUGGUAGUUGGUAGGGUAAUGGCCUACCAAGCCGAAGACGGGUAGCUGGUCUGAGAGGAUGAUCAGCCACACUGGAACUGAGACACGGUCCAGACUCCUACGGGAGGCAGCAGUGGGGAAUCUUGCGCAAUGGGCGAAAGCCUGACGCAGCGACGCCGCGUGAGUGAUGAAGGCCUCGGUGUAAG